AUCAUUAUUUUUCUUAAUUUCUUUUUUUCCUCAAUAAAACAAAAAGGAACACUCUCCAUUUCCUAUCACAAAACCGAAGCUUGCUCCCUCUUCCCUCUCCAUUUCUUCCAUUUUCUCUCUAAGGAUCAAGAGCACUCUUUCCCCAUUUAAGAAGGGGAGAAGCCUAAGAGCACACUAAGGAAGAGGUAUAAGAGAGGUGGUUGUAGGGGAAUCUCAAAGUUGAAUCUUUUUUGUGAUCUAGUGAAAACAAAGGUAAGGGUUCUAGAGUUUUUAUGUUUUCCCACUCAUCUAUAUCUUCUACCCUAACACUCUUUUAAAAUUCUUCAUGUGGAGCCUUGGGGGAAGUUUGAAAAAGCUUAAGGAAUCUCAUCUCCAAGCUAGAACAAUCAAAGGUAAGUGCAAAAGCAAAGUGGAGCAGUGAGUGUCAAAGUCUGCUUGUAGAUAUGUACAUGUGGCCUGACCUGGGGAGUUUUUUGAUGAAUCACCAUUUUGAAAAGAAAAAGUUGGAAGUCGUUAUUUCUUUUGGGAUAAUUGUUUUGAUAUAACUCUUUAGAAGAGUGUUUGUAUUUCUGUUUACUAAACUAAAAGUGUGCGCACACGAUCUUUUUAAAAGUUUUUUAUAUGGAAUUUUGG